rnacentral:rRNA from 1 species
GUGUCAGCAGCCGCGGUAAUACGGAGGGUGCGAGCGUUGUCCGGAAUCACUGGGCGUAAAGGGCGCGUAGGUGGCUUGGUAAGCGUGUGGUGAAAGCCUGGGGCUCAACCCCGGGUCGGCCAUGCGAACUGCCGAGCUUGAGCACUGUAGAGGCAGACGGAAUUCCGGGUGUAGCGGUGGAAUGCGUAGAGAUCCGGAAGAACACCGGUGGCGAAGGCGGUCUGCUGGGCAGUUGCUGACACUGAGGCGCGACAGCGUGGGGAGCAAACAGGAUUAGAUACCCUCGUAGUCC